AAUUUAUUUCACACUCCCUCCUUUUUUCCCCCAAACCUAAAAACAUCCGCCUUAAUACUCCGCCUAAUCGACUCCCCCUUAACUCUCUCUCCGCCUAACAGAGAAAAAGAAGAAGAAAUUAAGUCCAAAAUCACGUUAGAUUGAAAUCCAACGUUAACAGCAAACUGCUUCAUAGAUUGAAAUCCAAAAUCAAUUCACGUUGAAAUCCCUUAACACUUCCGCCUAAUUGAAAUCUCCCUAAAUCUCCUUCCAGGUACUGCUGAAGUAUCAUCCAUCUUCAAAGUUGGUUCUGAUUCUCAUCGUGUACAGAAGUCUCAUUUCUGUUUUAUGACCAUUGAGGAAGUUGCACGGGAACCAAAGAUGAGAUUAAGGAUAAUGUUUCGGUAGUAUUUCUCGGGAUUAAUGGACUUCCUUUGUGAACUACCGUUAUAAAGAAGAAACUCAGAUGACUGAGACAGGGAGAAAGCCUGGACGAGCACAACUUUAUCUUGCUACACAUUCGAGAAAAGAUGGAUCAUAUGUAAAUGAGGAGGCGUAAGAAAUAUGUCCAAGUGAUGCAGCUAGUGGACCCGUUUUACUGACGGAUGCAAGAUCUUCUGGCGCUAGUAAUUCCAGUGACAACCAUUGAGAUUCAUUUUAAUUGAAGUGGAUGUAUUAUGACAAUGUAAUAGCUGACUAAUAUAGACGGUUAACUAUGUUCUAAUUUAGCUUGAUGACAUAUAAUACUACUCUGUCAUAGUAUUUUUCACGGUUAAUGAAAUGUUGAUGUUUCUUAAUUUUAA